GCCUCGCGUCUGAUUAGCUAGUUGGUAGGGUAACGGCCUACCAAGGCGACGAUCAGUAGCCGGACUGAGAGGUUGGCCGGCCACAUUGGGACUGAGAUACGGCCCAGACUCCUACGGGAGGCAGCAG
rnacentral:rRNA from 1 species